GAUCAUGGCUCAGGAUGAACGCUAGCUACAGGCUUAACACAUGCAAGUCGAGGGGAAACGACAUCGAAAGCUUGCUUUUGAUGGGCGUCGACCGGCGCACGGGUGAGUAACGCGUAUCCAACCUGCCCACCACUUGGGGAUAACCUUGCGAAAGUAAGACUAAUACCCAAUGGUAUCUCUAGAAGACAUCUGAAAGAGAUUAAAGAUUUAUCGGUGAUGGAUGGGGAUGCGUCUGAUUAG
rnacentral:rRNA from 1 species